AUCGAACGCUGGCGGCAUGCUUUACACAUGCAAGUCGAACGGCAGCGCGGGCUUCGGCCUGGCGGCGAGUGGCGAACGGGUGAGUAAUGCAUCUGAACGUGCCCAGAAGUGGGGGAUAGCGCGGCGAAAGCCGGAUUAAUACCGCAUCCGACCUGAGGGUGCAAGCGGGGGACCGAAAGGCCUCGCGCUAUUGGAGCGGCCGAGGUCGGUAUAGCUAGUUGGUGGGGUAAAGGCUUACCAAGGCGAAGAACCGAAGCUGGUCUGAGAGGACGACCAGCCACACUGGGAGUGAGACAGGGCCCAGACUCCGACGGGAGGCAGCGGUGGGGAAUUUUGGACAAAGGGGGCAACCCUGAUCCAGCAAUGCCGCGUGCGGGAAGAAGGCGUUCGGGUUGUAGACCGCUUUUGUUCGGGAAGAAAUACUCUGGGCUAAUACCCCGGGGGGAUGACGGUACCGGAAGAAUAAGCACUGGCUAACUACGUG
rnacentral:rRNA from 1 species